AGAGUUUGAUCCUGGCUCAGGAUGAACGCUAGCGGCAGGCUUAAUACAUGCAAGUCGAGGGGCAGCAUGGUGGUAGCAAUACCACUGAUGGCGACCGGCAAACGGGUGCGGAACACGUACGCAACUUACCCAUAACUGGGGGAUAGCCCACCGAAAGGUGGAUUAAUACCCCGUAACACUUAUUGGUGGCAUCACCGAAAAGUUAUAGCUCCGGCGGUUAUGGAUGGGCGUGCGGCUGAUUAGGUAGUUGGUUGAGGUAACGGCUCACCAAGCCUUCGAUCAGUAACUGGUGUGAGAGCACGACCAGUCACACGGGCACUGAGACACGGGCCCGACUCCUACGGGAGGCAGCAGUAAGGAAUAUUGGUCAAUGGACGCAAGUCUGAACCAGCCAUGCCGCGUGAAGGAUGAAGGCCCUCUGGGUUGUAAACUUCUUUUACAGGGGAAGAAAUCUCUUUUUUUCAAGAGAGUUGACGGUACCCUGGGAAUAAGCACCGGCUAACUCCGUGCCAGCAGCCGCGGUAAUACGGAGGGUGCAAGCGUUAUCCGGAUUCACUGGGUUUAAAGGGUGCGUAGGAGGGCAGGUAAGUCAGUGGUGAAAUCUCCGAGCUUAACUCGGAAACUGCCGUUGAUACUAUCUGUCUUGAAUACCGUGGAGGUGAGCGGAAUAUGUCAUGUAGCGGUGAAAUGCUUAGAUAUGACAUAGAACACCAAUUGCGAAGGCAGCUCACUACACGAGCAUUGACUCUGAGGCACGAAAGCGUGGGGAUCAAACAGGAUUAGAUACCCUGGUAGUCCACGCCCUAAACUAUGGAUACUCGACAUACGCGAUACACUGUGUGUGUCUGAGCGAAAGCAUUAAGUAUCCCACCUGGGAAGUACGACCGCAAGGUUGAAACUUAAAGGAAUUGACGG
rnacentral:rRNA from 1 species